UACGUAGGUGGCAAGCGUUGUCCGGAUUUACUGGGCGUAAAGAGCGCGCAGGCGGUCGUUCAAGUCGCGUGUGAAAGCCCCCGGCUCAACUGGGGAGGGUCAUUCGAUACUGAUCGACUCGAAGGCAGGAGAGGGUAGUGGAAUUCCCGGUGUAGUGGUGAAAUGCGUAGAGAUCGGCAGGAACACCCAGGGGGAAACCAGCCGACUGGGCAUCUACUGACGCUGAGGUGCGAGAGCGUGGGGAGCGAACCGG
rnacentral:rRNA from 1 species